UUAUACUACUACUUAUACUACUACUUAUACAACUACUUCUACAACUACUACUUCUACUACUACUACUACUACUACUACGUGCGGAGACACGUGACAGGCCGAGUUACAGUACGCUCGAGGAGUCAUGAAGAAGCCACGAUGGAAAAUUAGCCGGUACUGGGACUAAGUUCGGUACUUAGUGAGUGGCAGCUUCAACUACGAACGGUCAAUAAAAUGUUAACAAAAGAAAUAGAUAUAUAUAUACAUAUAAAUAAUUGAAUAAAAAAGAAAAAAGUAGUAAGAAAAAGUAUUGUUAGUUGUAAAUAUCGUGCGACAAGAUGUCAGGUGUGAUGCAAACGUCGCCCGGCCAAGGGAGAGAGCACAGUUUUUCUCACGGGGGAUGUGCCUUUGAACGAGCGAGACAAACGAGUAUAUAAGAGAAAGAAAGAAGAAUAAAAAAAGAAAA
rnacentral:lncRNA from 1 species